rnacentral:lncRNA from 1 species
GGCACUGGGCAGCACUGGUUGCCGCAGGGCAGCCCCCCCCCCAGCAGCCGCCCCCGCCGCAGCGUGUCUGGUCGGUGACUCACGGCCGGGCCGGGGGCCACACGUGUGCCGAGCGCGGGGCUCAGCACGGCCACGUGGCCCAACCCGGUCACCGUGGGGCCCGGGGAGCCUGCGGGAUCCUGCCGGGGCCUGGCGCGGUGCUGGGCCGGUAGGAACGGGGCACGCGGUGCCGUGAGGCCUGUCCGAAGUGGCUCUGGGUGACGGGGACAGCCCGGUGCCACACGCUCGGUGGCCUUGGCGUGGCCGUGCCGUGCCCGUGCGGUGCCGGUGCUGGGUCCCGUGCCGGUGCCGCGCUGGUUCCUGCACAGAGCUGGUGCCGAGGCAGUGCCAGGGCCAACCGGUGCUGGUGCUGCACGGUGCCAACACCGGUGCCGAGGCAGCACGGCUCCUGCGUGGUGCCAGUGCCAUGCCGUGCCAACGGUGUGAGUGCCGGCUGUGGGGCCAGGAGGUGCCAAUACGGUGCCGGUGCCGGUGCCGUGCGGAGCCAAAGCAGUGCCGUGCCCACGCAGUGCCAGUGCCGGUGCCACACAGUGCCAGUGCCGUGCCAAUGCGGUGCCAACUCCGUGCUGGUGCUGUGUGGUGCCGGUGUGGUGCCGUGCCGUCCCAGCGCGGUGCCGGUGCCGUUCCCGUGCCAAGGUGAUGCCAACACGGUGCCGGUGCCGUGCCAACGCAGUGCCAACUCAGUGCCAACGAGGUGCUGUUGCCAUUCCCGUGCCAUGCUGUGCCGUGCCAACGCGGUGCCGGUGCCAUUCCCGUGCCAAGGUGAUGCCAACGCGGUGCCGGUGCCGGUGCCAUCCCCGUGCCAACGCGGUGCCAACGCGGUGCCGGUGCCGUUCCCGCCCCCCCCCCCAACCCUCCCCAAAUCCCCUCCCGGUGCCGCCCCCAGCCCGCCCCCGCCCCUCCCCUGCCCUCCCCCGGUGCUCGGCGGGGCCGUGCCGGUGCUCGGCGGCGGCGGCGGCGGCGAUGGCGCUGUCGGGGCCGCCCCGUUCCUGCCUCCUGCUGGCGGCCGCGCUGCUGCUGCCGCUGCCCGGGGCCGCCCCGGACCCCGCCGCGCCCGCGCUCACCGACGCCGAGAUCGAGGCGUUCCUCAGGGGCUUCCUCGGGCCCGACGGGGACCGCGACGGCGACGGCGACGGGGACGGGGACGGGGAUGGCACCGAGCCGGGCUUCGCCACCGAGCAGGGCACCGGCACCGGGCUGAGCACCGACCCUCCGGGGCGGCUGCCGGAGCCCGAGGCACCCAAGAAGGGCCGGAAGGAAAAAGCCCCAAAACCCACCAAAAAGCCCAAGGAGAGAGCACGGGGCUCCAAAAAGGACAAGGACAGGGACAGGGACAAGGAGCGGGACAAGAGCAGGGACAAGAGCAAGGACGGGGACAAGCCCCCCAAGAAGCCCAAGGAGAAGACCCCAAAAGGCUCCGAGAAACCCCCAAAAGGCUCCGAGAAACCCCCAAAAGGAUCCAAGAAGCCCAAGGAGAAGCCGCCCAAGGAGAAGCCACCCAAGGAGAAGCCACCCAAGGCCACCAAGAAGCCCUCGGGCACGAGGCCCCCGGAGCCACCGGACACCCCCUGGGAGCCCCCCGUGGCCCCGCACCCCCCGCGGGGCGAGGACAGAGAGGGGACGUCCCUGUCCCCAGGGCAGCCGCGGGUCCCUGAGGAGGAGGAGGAGGAUGGCAGAGACCGAGGCGGGCUGGAGGAGCUGCCGACGGAGCGCUGGGAGCUGGGGGGGGAGGACUGGCACCCCCCUCCCGAGGCUGAGGUCCCCGCGGAGCCGGAGCCGCCGACGCUGGACUACAACGAGCAGCUGGAGCGGGAGGACUACGAGGACUUCGAGUACAUUCGGCGGCAGCAGAAACCCCGCAAGCCCCCCAGCAGGAAGAAACCCGAGCGAGUCUGGCCCCAGCCGGAGACGCCACCACGUCAG